UACGAAGGGUGCUAGCGUUGUUCGGAAUUACUGGGCGUAAAGCGUAGGUAGGCGGUCUACCAAGUCAGGGGUGAAAUCCCGAGGCUCAACCUCGGAAUUGCCUUUGAAACUGGUAGGCUAGAGAAUGUUAGAGGCAAGUGGAAUUCCUAGUGUAGGAGUGAAAUCCGUAGAUAUUAGGAGGAACAUCAAUGGCGAAGGCAGCUUGCUGGGACAUUACUGACGCUGAGCUACGAAAGCGUGGGGAGCAAACAGG
rnacentral:rRNA from 2 species